ACCCUGGUAGUCCACGCCGUAAACGAUGUCGACUUGGAGGUUGUUCCCUUGAGGAGUGGCUUCCGGAGCUAACGCGUUAAGUCGACCGCCUGGGGAGUACGGCCGCAAGGUUAAAACUCAAAUGAAUUGACGGGGGCCCGCACAAGCGGUGGAGCAUGUGGUUUAAUUCGAUGCAACGCGAAGAACCUUACCUACUCUUGACAUCCAGAGAACUUUCCAGAGAUGGAUUGGUGCCUUCGGGAACUCUGAGACAGGUGCUGCAUGGCUGUCGUCAGCUCGUGUUGUGAAAUGUUGGGUUAAGUCCCGCAACGAGCGCAACCCUUAUCCUUUGUUGCCAGCGAUUCGGUCGGGAACUCAAAGGAGACUGCCGGUGAUAAACCGGAGGAAGGUGGGGAUGACGUCAAGUCAUCAUGGCCCUUACGAGUAGGGCUACACACGUGCUACAAUGGCGCAUACAAAGAGAAGCGACCUCGCGAGAGCAAGCGGACCUCACAAAGUGCGUCGUAGUCCGGAUCGGAGUCUGCAACUCGACUCCGUGAAGUCGGAAUCGCUAGUAAUCGUGGAUCAGAAUGCCACGGUGAAUACGUUCCCGGGCCUUGUACACACCGCCCGUCACACCAUGGGAGUGGGUUGCAAAAGAAGUAGGUAGCUUAACCUUCGGA
rnacentral:rRNA from 2 species